GACGUAGGGCGCGAGCGUUGUCCGGAUUUCUUGGGCGUAAAGAGCUCGUCGGCGGCUUGUCGCGUCGAAUGUGAAAACCCACAGCUCAACUGUGGGCUUGCAUUCGAUACGGGCAGGCUAGAGUUCGGUAGGGGAGACUGGAAUUCCUGGUGUAGCGGUGAAAUGCGCAGAUAUCAGGAGGAACACCGGCGGUGUAGACGGCUUUCUGGACCGUAGCUGACGCUGAGACACGAAAGCGUGGGUAGCAAACAGG
rnacentral:rRNA from 1 species